GGUGAUUUAGAUUAGAUAUUAGGAAAAACUUCUUCACAGAAAGGCUUGUCAAGCAUUGCAACAGACUGUCCGGGGAAGCUGUGGAGUCACCAUCCCUGGAACAGCUGUUCAAAGAAC